rnacentral:rRNA from 1 species
GACGAACGCUGGCGGCGUGCCUAAUACAUGCAAGUGGGACGCAAGAGAACACACUGUGCUUGCACACCGUGUUUUCUUGAGUCGCGAACGGGUGAGUAACGCGUAGGUAACCUGCCUAUUAGCGGGGGAUAACUAUUGGAAACGAUAGCUAAUACCGCAUAAUAUUAAUUAUUGCAUGAUAAUUGAUUGAAAGAUGCAAGCGCAUCACUAGUAGAUGGACCUGCGUUGUAUUAGCUAGUUGGUAAGGUAAGAGCUUACCAAGGCGACGAUACAUAGCCGACCUGAGAGGGUGAUCGGCCACACUGGGACUGAGACACGGCCCAGACUCCUACGGGAGGCAGCAGUAGGGAAUCUUCGGCAAUGGACGAAAGUCUGACCGAGCAACGCCGCGUGAGUGAAGAAGGUUUUCGGAUCGUAAAGCUCUGUUGUAAGUCAAGAACGUGUGUGAGAGUGGAAAGUUCACACA